rnacentral:rRNA from 1 species
UACGGAGGAUGCAAGCGUUAUCCGGAAUGAUUGGGCGUAAAGCGUCCGCAGGUGGCGAUGUAAGUCUGCUGUUAAAGAGUGAGGCUCAACCUCAUAAGAGCAGUGGAAACUACAUAGCUAGAGUACGUUCGAGGCAGAGGGAAUUCCUGGUGUAGCGGUGAAAUGCGUAGAGAUCAGGAAGAACACCAGUGGCGAAGGCGCUCUGCUAGGCCGUAACUGACACUGAGGGACGAAAGCUAGGGGAGCGAAUGGG